CUCGGAUUUUAUGUUUUGUGUGUGAAUUUGGGUCCAUUGUGUAAAUUCAGUAUGUCAACAUGAUAAAAUAACUGUAAAUUGACACAGGUGAGGUUGUGCUGAAAAAAAUGAUACCAGGCAAGGCACGUGAUUGUCAAAUUUUGUGUCAAUAUGACAAAGCGUAUAGGCGUGAAUCUCAACAAUAUGUAUUUUCACCUUAGGGGACAAGAAAAAAUGGACUUUUUUCUCCUGCCAUGGGGGGGCGCUCUUUUGGGGAGUAAAAAUUCCUUCACAAAUGUGUUGAUGGCUGGACAUUGCAUCAUCCUAGAAAACUUGGAGGCCAGUGAGGACAAAAAUAAAAAGUUAUAAGACUUUUAAAUAUGUGGAUUUUAGGGUUAUCUUUGGCGCCCCCUAGAACCUAAACCGUGGGGUGCAGCGUCAUGAUUUUGAUAACUUUUAAUGGCCAUGGGCUGUAGAUUGGCCUGAGCAAAUGUGGUGCCGGUGGAACGAAAGCCUUAGGAGGAGUUAGCCACAUUCCAAUGUGUGCGGAUCGGCAAAAAAUGCGGAAUAACCCUUUAACCGUACAUUUGACAGAUACGCGCGCAUUGACUUUUUCGUAGAUCUUAUUGAGUUACAUGUGUGUGUCAAUUUUUGUGUCAUUUUGACAAAGCGUAUAGGCGUGACACUCAACAAUGUGUAUUUUCACCUUAGGGGACAAGAAAAAAUGGACUUUUUUCUCCUGCCAUGGGGGGGCGCUCUUUUGGGGAGUAAAAAUUCCUUCACAAAUGUGUUGAUGGCUGGACAUUGCAUCAUCCUAGAAAACUUGGAGGCCAGUGAGGACAAAAAUAAAAAGUUAUAAGACUUUUAAAUAUGUGGAUUUUAGUGUUAUCUUUGGCGCCCCCUAGAACCUAAACCUUGGGGUGCAGCGUCAUGAUUUUGAUAACUUUUAAUGGCCACGGGGUGUAGAUUGGCCUGAGCAAAUGUGGUGCCAGUGGAACGAAAGCCUUCGGAGGAGUUAGCGAAAUUCCAAUGUGUGCAGAUCGGCAAAAAAUGCGAAAUAACCCUUUAACCGUAAUUUUGACAGAUACGGCCGCACUGACUUUUUUGUAGAUCUUAUUGAGAUACAUGUGUGUGUCCAUUUUUGUGUCAUUUUGACAAAGCGUACAGUCGUGACAGUGAAUUGUGUGAAUUUUCACCUUAGGGGGCGCUAUGGAGCCAUUUUGCAUUUUAUUGUUUUGGCGACUUCAGAAUAUCAAAUUUUUCACCAGGCCCGGUCGUCCUGCCAAAUUUCAUGAGUUUUCGCCAGUGGGAAGUGGGCCAUUUUCCAGUUCAAAGGGGAGGAAAAAGAAACUAGGGCCCCGUUGGGGCACUGGCGGGCCCGAGCCGCGUUGCGCCGCCCCCAGUGCGACCGCCUCCCCCUCCCGAUCGCGUCACACUCAAGGUCCAAAGAUGGUGUGCGCACUUGUCUGUGGUCAUUUCCCAUUAUAAUGAAUGGGAGGCGCAGUUUCUACCAAAACACUCGCUGCAGACAAACUACAUGUCCUAUUUGAAAAAAGUCUGGACCAUGAGUGAGGGCACAAACACAGCUAGGAUAUAUCCAAACGGCAAGUUGCUCCUCGUUACGGUGUUGCCGGGAGAGCGAUGCGAUUGAGCCAUUGAGUGAUGGGCAGGAAAAACUUGACUGUUUCUCCUGCCAUGGGGGAUGGGGGAUGGGAGGGGGGGGGGAAGGGAUGUGGAUUCUUUUAAGAAUGUGGAUAUUUGGGUCAUCUUUGGCGCCCCCUAGAACGUAAACCGUGGGGUGCAGCGGCAUGAUUUUUAAAACUUUGAAUGGCCAUGGGGUGUAGAUUGGCCUGAGCAAAUUUGGUGUCAGUGGGACGAAAGCCUUAGGAGGAGUUAGCCACAUUCCAAUGUGUGCUAAUCGGCAAAAAAUGCAAAAUAGCCCUUUAACCGUACAUUUUACAGAUACGCGCUCUUUGACUUUUUCGUACAUCUUAUUGAGAUACAUGUGUGUGUCAAAUUUUGUGUCAAUAUGACAAAGCAUACAGGUAUGACAGUCAACAAUGUGUAUUUUCACCUUAUGGGACAAGAAAAAAUGGACUUUUUUCUCCUGCCAUGGGGGGGCGCUCUUUUAGGGAGUAAAAAUUCCUUCACAAAUGUGUUGAUGGCUGGACAUUGCAUCAUCCUAGAAAACUUGGAGGCCAGAGAGGACAAAAAUAAAAAGUUAUAAGACUUUUAAAUAUGUGGAUUUUAGGGUUAUCUUUGGCGCCCCCUAGAACCUAAACUGUGGGGUGCAGCGUCAUGAUUUGAAUAACUUUUAAUGGCCAUGGGGUGUAGAUUGGCCUGAGCAAAUGUGGUGCCGGUUGAACGAAAGCCUUCGGAGGAGUUAGCGAAAUUCCAAUGUGUGCGGAUCGGCAAAAAAUGCGCAAUAACCCUUUAACCGUACAUUUGACAGAUACGCCCGCACUGACUUUUUUGUAGAUCUUAUUGAGAUACAUGUGUGUGUCAAUUUUUGUGUAAUUUUGACAAAGCGUACAGGCGUGACAGUCAAUAGUGUGAAUUUUCACCUUAUGGAACAAGAAAAAAUGGACUUUUUUCUCCUGCCAUGGGGGGGCGCUCUUUUGGGGAGUAAAAAUUCCUUCACAAAUGUGUUGAUGGCUGGACAUUGCAUCAUCCUAGAAAACUUGGAGGCCAGUGAGGGCAAAAAUAAAAAGUUAUAAGACUUUGAAAUAUGUGGAUUUUAGGGUUAUCUUUGGCGCCCCCUAGAACAUAAACCGUGGGGUGCAGCGUCAUGAUUUGAAUAACUUUUAAUGGCCAUGGGGUGUAGAUUGGCCUGAGCAAAUGUGGUGCCGGUGGAACGAAAGCCUUCGGAGGAGUUAGCGAAAUUCCAAUGUGUGCGGAUCGGCAAAAAAUGCGAAAUAACCCUUUAACCGUACAUUUGACAGAUACGCCCGCACUGACUUUUUUGUAGAUCUUAUUGAGAUACAUGUGUGUGUCAAUUUUUGUGUCAUUUUGACAAAGCGUACAGGCGUCAGGUGAAUUUUUCACCUUAGGGGGCGCUAUGGAGCCAUUUUGCAUUGUAUUGUUUGGGCGACUUCAGAAUAUCAAAUUUUUCACCAGGCCCGGUCGUCCUGCCAAAUUUCAUGAGUUUUCGCCAGUGGGAAGUGGGCCAUUUUCCAGUUCAAAGGGGAGGAAAAAUAAUAACUAGGACCCCGUUGGGGCACUGGCGGGCCCGAGCUGUGUCGCGCCCCCCCCCCAACGCGCUGCCUCCCCGUCCCAUUUGUGUCCUCUGGCCAUCGCCCUCUCUGGUAACGCCCAUCACUGCAAAGACCCUUUUCCUUCAUCGGCGUUUGCUGUUCUUCCUGCCAGUGCGUGUUGCUUUCACUUACACUUGCCACAGCCAGCCUCGUGAGUGCCUAGCCUAUUGGAUAUUACUGUCACCUACACAGGACAGUCAUUACCUUUCUAUUAAUACUUUGUUUUUUAAUUUCACAUUAAUUUCCAUAUUGUAUAAACGACUGGAAAAAACUUGAGCCCCUGCCCCUGUAUAAUCAUGUGCACGUCUCUGUUCUAGCUCUAAGGUGAAUCUUCACUGCUCAUGUUCUCCUCAGAAGCAGUCACCUCACUCCCCUCAGGUUACUGUACACAUGCACCAACUGCCUGCUUCAGGUUUGGAUGGAGCUUCAUGGUUGUCUUUUGGAGAAAUGACCAGUCAAGUUGUGUUUGAAAUUUGAUUUUUUUCAGGGGCAAAAGGAGCCUCUGCAUUCUUGUCAAAUAUGUAAAUAGCAUGUUUUUGCAGGUGCUAAAAACCAGACUCUGAGUGUGUGUGUGUGCGUGUGUGUGUGUGUCUGUGUGUGUGUGUGUGUGUGUGUGUGUGUGCGUUCAAGUCACAUGACAUAUUUAACCGGAUGUAGCUGCAAGACGGAGCCUCGUUGACUCUCCGUUUCAAUUUAUCUCAAAAGUGAGGACCUCAACCUAUAUACCAGUUUUUAAAUUGUGUUGAUAGGCCAAAUAAAACCAGAGUUAUGAUAAAUUAUGUCCGCGAUACUUGUUUUCUGCUUAUUUUGAUCACAUUCGGCGCUCGAUCGCGCUGUAUGAGACAGGAAAACAUAGCAUGCAGACAUUAGCGACAGGUCUUACAGGCGGAAAAGGCUUGCCAAAAGAAAAAAAAAACACACCACAACAUCUCUCCUAUUGGUGGAAAACUUCACCACAACAACCAAUCCAAAAUUAUAUGGUGAUUGAUUGACAAGGGGCGGGAACUUACGUUCUUCCUGCAAUAUGAGAAGGGAGGGAGGGACUCUCAGCAGGGAUGCAGUCUGGGACACGUAGUUGCAAACCUAGCGACUUUGUUGUUAGAUUCAAUGACUUUUCAGACCCCCUAACGACUUUUUUUUAGAAAGAAAGGGACUUUUAUCGACUUCUUCUGGAGUUUAGAGACUCUGACAUGAAGCAGGCUUUCCUUACUGAGGAGUUAGCAACGCUGCUAAGGGUGCAGAGCCACACAUGCGCUCCGAGCUCUGCAUGGGAGACUGAAGCUGACAGAGCUGCAGCAGUUAGCAGGUUUCACCCUCAGAGACCACCAGGGGUUCAUGUUGAGGCAUUUUUAGUUUUUUUUUUUUUUUUUUUUGCCAUAGACACUGUCAGCACAAUCUGCAGUUACACUAACAAAAAUGCUGCAAAAAACAAAGAAUUAUGGAAAAAUUACACAUGGACUAACAUAGAGGAGGAUCUACACAAGUUUUUUACAUCAUGUUUUACAUCAUGCAUCAUUUACAUCAUGUUUUUUUGUAGUGGCAUAAAUAAAAAGUGACAUUUGUGAGACUAUACAGUGUUUUGUAAAUAAUUUUACAAAGAACACCUGGGCCAUUGCCUGCAUUUUGAUGUCAAUAGAGGAAAAUUACUAUGUUCUUUGUUAAAAAUUUGCAUAUGUUUUGAAGUUUACAAUUUUUAUUUGAAGUUUAAGUUUUAAAAACAGUUCAUCACACAUAUUUGUGGUUUUCACAGUAAAAACGUUACUUUUUUCCACUCGGAUUUUAUGUUUUGUGUGUGAAUUUGGGUCCAAUGUGUAAAUAUAGUAUGUCAAAAUGAUAAAAUAACUGUAAAUUGACACAGGUGAGGUUGUGCUGAAAAAAAUGAUACCAGGCAAGGCAAGGUAAAAAUUUUGUAAGAGGAAAUAUAAAGGUAAAAUCUAAAGUAGUCAAAAACGGCCAAUAGUGACUCACAGACUCCACAGACAAGUCCCUUUGCCGCCACUCAGUGGGCAAAACUACUUUGUCUACUGUAAUGUAUAUUUGGGUCAUCUUUGGCGCCCCCUAAAACGUAAACCGUGGGGUGCAGCGUCA
rnacentral:lncRNA from 1 species